GAUGAACGCUGGCGGCGUGCCUAAUACAUGCAAGUCGAGCGAACGGACGAGAAGCUUGCUUCUCUGAUGUUGGCGGCGGACGGGUGAGUAACACGUGGAUAACCUACCUAUAAGACUGGGAUAACUUCGGGAAACCGGAGCUAAUACCGGAUGAUAUUUUGAACCGCAUGGCUCAAAAGUGAAAGACGGUCUUGCUGUCACUUAUAGAUGGAUCCGCGCUGCAUUAGCUAGUUGGUAAGGUAACGGCUUACCAAGGCAACGAUGCAUAGCCGACCUGAGAGGGUGAUCGGCCACACUGGAACUGAGACACGGUCCAGACUCCUACGGGAGGCAGCAGUAGGGAAUCUUCCGCAAUGGGCGAAAGCCUGACGGAGCAACGCCGCGUGAGUGAUGAAGGUCUUCGGAUCGUAAAACUCUGUUAUUAGGGAAGAACAUAUGUGUAAGUAACUGUGCACAUCUUGACGGUACCUAAUCAGAAAGCCACGGCUAACUACGUG
rnacentral:rRNA from 1 species